AAGGAGGUCAAAGGAAGGAGAAUGGAGUUGCCGUGCUUGGAGAGAAGAGAACCGGGCUGCCAUGUGAGAUCUCAAAAUGAUGUAACUCUGAGGGACCCACUCCUCGUCACCUACUUUUGCCAGUGAAGUUCCUCCUAAAGAUGCCACAGCCUUCACAAGAGCCCAACAAGCUAAAGACUAAAGCAAGAGCUGAUGGGAGACGUUCCAGAUUUUUGCCACAUGCCUAAGCAACUUUCUGGGAAGGGAUGGGCAUGUUGAACAGGAACAAACAGGGGACAGUGAACUGGUCCCAGGGCAGUAAGUUCAGGACACCAGCGCUGAACUUACAGCAGGAGGAAACCACUAACUAAUGCCAAAGAACAUAUUCAGAUAAACUCCUGGCAUUUGUUUAAAAUCUUGGAAACCAAGCUAAAUUGCCUUCCCAAUGGUGUCAGUAAGCGGGACCAUAGGCGGGAUGGGGUAUGCCAAUGCCUUCCUUGUGGCUUGUCUUUGGCUGCUCUAAGAGGAGCAGCCGUGUACACAAGCUGGAAAUCAGCAGCUGUGGAAUGCCAGGGCCACCAACUCCUCAUCUAGUGCUCAGUACCUGCCCAAGGUUUAUCACACACGGUGCUUUGUGUGAGUUGCACGGUGAGCCCUCAGUUAAGAUGAGAACAAAUAUGCCAAGUGUGAUGAUUCAUGCUUGUAAUCUCAGAAUACAAGAGGCCAAGACAGGAGGAUUGCCAAGAGCUGAUUCUAGCCAGGGCUACACAGUAAAAUCCUGUCAAAAAAAACACCAAACAAAACCAAAAAACAGAAACCAAGAAGAUGAAAACAAGAUGGGAGGAAUUUGGUUUUGCUUUGUCAAGGGACAAAAUCGCAAUCUUAACUGGCUUUAUUUUCAAUUUCAGAAUCUGGCAAUAUUUUUCAUUGCAUGAGAGUAAGUAUUCCAAUAAGCCAGGCUGAGGGGGUUGGUUUCGUAGACACAAAACUGCUGAAGAAAACAAAAACAACCCCCAAAGUAUAGGUCAUUUCCAAGUUGUGUUUUCUGUACAGCGGGGACAGACAGAGAGAUAGAAAAGCAAUUGGUUGACAAGAGGCUCUUCCGACCGGUGGACGGAUUAAAGCAGGAGCUGCUUAAUUUCACAGUACUUAUAACUGGCUCGUACACAAUGUUUGAGCGUGGUGUGUCCAAUCUUGAUUUCUCAGGUCAGAUAAAAAGCUUAGUUUCAAUUUC
rnacentral:lncRNA from 1 species